rnacentral:rRNA from 1 species
AGAGUUUGAUCCUGGCUCAGGAUGAACGCUGGCGGCGUGCCUAAUACAUGCAAGUCGAACGAAGUGAAGAGGAGCUUGCUCCUUGGAACUUAGUGGCGAACGGGUGAGUAAUACAUAAGCAACCUGCCUCGAUGCCUGGGAUAACAGAGGGAAACUUCUGCUAAUACCGGGAUACGUUAAUCUAAGACAUCUUAGAUUAAUUAAAGAUGGGAUACAUCACAACGAGAUGGGCUUAUGGUGCAUUAGUUAGUUUGGUAAGGUAACGGCUUACCAAGACGAUGAUGCGUAGCCGACCUGAGAGGGUGACCGGCCACACUGGGACUGAGACACGGCCCAGACUCCUACGGGAGGCAGCAGUAGGGAAUUUUCGGCAAUGGGGGAAACCCUGAACCGAGCAACGCCGCGUGAGUGAAGACGGCCUUCGGGUUGUAAAGCUCUGUUGUAAGGGAAGAACGAAUAGGAAGAGGGAAUGCUUCUUAUAUGACGGUACCUUACCAGAAAGCCACGGCUAACUACGUGCCAGCAGCCGCGGUAAUACGUAGGUGGCAAGCGUUAUCCGGAAUUAUUGGGCGUAAAGGGAGCGCAGGCCGUUUAUCAAGUUUAUGGUUAAAGUUCGGGGCUUAACCCGUGAUGCCAUAGAAACUGGUAGACUAGAGUGCAGGAGAGGUUAGUGGAAUUCCAUGUGUAGCGGUAAAAUGCGUAGAUAUAUGGAGGAACACCAGUGGCGAAGGCGGCUAACUGGCCUGUAACUGACGCUGAGGCUCGAAAGCGUGGGGAGCAAAUAGGAUUAGAUACCCUAGUAGUCCACGCCGUAAACGAUGGAUACUAAGUGUUGGAGAAAUUCAGUGCUGUAGUUAACGCAAUAAGUAUCCCGCCUGGGGAGUAUGCGCGCAAGCGUAAAACUCAAAGGAAUUGACGGGGCCCGCACAAGCGUGGAGUAUGUGGUUUAAUUCGAAGCAACGCGAAGAACCUUACCAGGUCUUGACAUACCGCGCAAAAGCACAGAGAUGUGUAAUAGUUAUGGCGGAUACAGGUGGUGCAUGG